rnacentral:rRNA from 1 species
UCCAGAGGUCCCAAGCGUUGUUCGGAUUCACUGGGCGUAAAGGGUGCGUAGGUGGUCGGGUAAGUCUGAUGUGAAAUCUCCGGGCCUAACCCGGAAACUGCAUCGGAUACUAUUCGGCUAGAGGGUUGGAGGGGGGACUGGAAUACUUGGUGUAGCAGUGAAAUGCGUAGAUAUCAAGUGGAACACCAGUGGCGAAGGCGAGUCCCUGGACAACUCCUGACACUGAGGCACGAAAGCUAGGGGAGCAAACAGG